UGGGAUGGAUGUAGGUUGAAGUAUUUCUUUUCUAAUUUUGAUUUUUUUCAUCUUCAAAUCAUCUUAUUUUUUUAUUUUAUUUUAUCUUCUCAUCUUCUUUUUCCAUUCAUUACCAUUGAUGUUGUCUAUCGUCAUUGUAGGUAUCCAUCCCACCCAUUGAUGUUCUUUUUCCAUUCAUUACCACUAUGUUCACUCCCUUUGAUUCUUCUCCUCCUCUUCCAUUGUUGGUAUCGUCGGUGUUAUUAUGGUUGUCGUCAUUGUUAUCGUUGUGGUUGUCUCCUCUUUUUCUUCCUCCUCUAUUUCUUUCUCAUUUUUUUUCUUUUUUCUUCUCACUCAUUUUCAUUUAAUUUAUAACAAACUC
rnacentral:lncRNA from 1 species